rnacentral:rRNA from 1 species
GGUCAAGCGAAUAAGCGCACAUGGUGGAUGCCUUGGCGGUCAGAGGCGAUGAAGGACGUGGUAGCCUGCGAAAAGUGUCGGGGAGCUGGCAACAAGCUUUGAUCCGGCAAUAUCCGAAUGGGGGAACCCACUGUUUAGGCAGUAUCUUUGAGUAAAUUCAUAGCUCAAGGAGGCGAACCUGGUGAACUGAAAUAUCUAAGUAACCAGAGGAAAAGAAAUCAACAGAGAUUCCCUGAGUAGUGACGAGCGAACGGGGAUUAGCCCUUAAGCUAGUAUGGUUUUAGGAAAGCAAUCUGGAAAGGUUGGCCAUAGAAGGUGAUAGCCCUGUAUCCGAAAGGGCCGUACUAGUGAAAAGGUAGGGGAUGAGGCGUGAUUAGGAGUGAAAAGCUAAUCGAACCCGGAGAUAGCUGGUUCUCCUCGAAAGCUAUUUAGGUAGCGCCUCAUAUGUAUCCUCUCGGGGGUAGAGCACUGUUAUGGCUAGGGGGUCAUCGCGACUUGCCAAACCAUUGCAAACUCCGAAUACCGAGAAGGACUGUAUGGGAGACACACGGCGGGUGCUAACGUCCGUCGUGAAAAGGGAAACAACCCAGACCCACAGCUAAGGUCCCAAAUUCAUAGCUAAGUGGAAAACGAUGUGGAAAGGCAUAGACAGCCAGGAGGUUGGCUUAGAAGCAGCCAUCCUUUAAAGAAAGCGUAAUAGCUCACUGGUCGAGUCGGUCUGCGCGGAAGAUUUAACGGGGCUAAGCUAUGAACCGAAGCUUGGGGUGCAUAUUUUUAUAUGCGCGGUAGAGGAGCGUUCCGUAAGCCUGUGAAGGUGAGUUGAGAAGCUUGCUGGAGGUAUCGGAAGUGCGAAUGCUGACAUGAGUAACGAUAAUAUGGGUGAAAAACCCAUACGCCGAAAGCCUAAGGUUUCCUUGCGCAACGUUAAUCGGCGCAGGGUUAGUCGGCCCCUAAGGCGAGGGCGAAAGCCGUAGUCGAUGGGAAGCAGGUUAAUAUUCCUGCACCUCGCGUGAGUGCGAUGGAGGGACGGAGAAGGCUAGGUGUACCGGGCGUUGGUUGUCCCGGGGAAAGGAGGUAGGCUGGUUCCUUAGGAAAAUCCGGGGGUCCUUUUAAAGCCGAGCACCGAGACGAGUCUUUUUAGAUGAAGUCACUGAUGCCACGCUUCCAGGAAAAGCUUCUAAGCUUCAGCUCACGAAGACCGUACCGUAAACCGACACAGGUAGGUAGGAUGAGAAUUCUCAGGCGCUUGAGAGAACUCGGGUGAAGGAACUAGGCAACAUGGCACCGUAACUUCGGGAGAAGGUGCACCCUUUUUGGUGGCGCGUGCGCGUUAUAGCUGAAGAGGGUCGCAGAAACCAGGCCGCUGCGACUGUUUAUCAAAAACACAGCACUCUGCAAACACGAAAGUGGACGUAUAGGGUGUGACGCCUGCCCGGUGCUGGAAGGUUAAUUGAUGGGGUUAGCUGUAAAAAGCGAAGCUCUUGAUCGAAGCCCCAGUAAACGGCGGCCGUAACUAUAACGGUCCUAAGGUAGCGAAAUUCCUUGUCGGGUAAGUUCCGACCUGCACGAAUGGCGUAACGACAGCGGCGCUGUCUCCACCCGAGACUCAGUGAAAUUGAAAUCGCUGUGAAGAUGCAGCGUUCCCGUGGCAAGACGGAAAGACCCCGUGAACCUUUACUAUAGCUUUACACUGAACGUUGAGUUCGUCUGUGUAGGAUAGGUGGGAGGCUAUGAAACCAUGACGCUAGUUGUGUUGGAGCCAUCCUUGAAAUACCACCCUGUCGUGCUUGACGUUCUAACCUAGUUCCGUUAUCCGGAUCAGGGACAGUGUAUGGUGGGUAGUUUGACUGGGGCGGUCUCCUCCCAAAGAGUAACGGAGGAGCACGAAGGUACGCUCAGCGCGGUCGGACAUCGCGCACUGUGUGCAAAGGCAUAAGCGUGCUUGACUGCGAGAUCGACGGAUCAAGCAGGUACGAAAGUAGGUCUUAGUGAUCCGGUGGUUCUGUAUGGAAGGGCCAUCGCUCAACGGAUAAAAGGUACUCCGGGGAUAACAGGCUGAUACCGCCCAAGAGUUCAUAUCGACGGCGGUGUUUGGCACCUCGAUGUCGGCUCAUCACAUCCUGGGGCUGUAGUCGGUCCCAAGGGUAUGGCUGUUCGCCAUUUAAAGUGGUACGCGAGCUGGGUUCAGAACGUCGUGAGACAGUUCGGUCCCUAUCUGCCAUGGGCGUUGGAGAUUUGAGAGGGGCUGCUCCUAGUACGAGAGGACCGGAGUGGACGAACCUCUGGUGUUCCGGUUGUCACGCCAGUGGCAUUGCCGGGUAGCUAUGUUCGGAAGCGAUAACCGCUGAAAGCAUCUAAGCGGGAAGCGCGCCUCAAGAUGAGAUCUCCCGGGAUGUAAAUCCCCUAAAGGAACCAUGUAGACUACGUGGUGGAUAGGUCAGGUGUGUAAGUGCAGCAAUGCAUUGAGCUAACUGAUACUAAUGAUCCGUGUGGCUUGACCAU